rnacentral:rRNA from 1 species
GUGGGGAAUCUUGCGCAAUGGGCGAAAGCCUGACGCAGCGACGCCGCGUGAGUGAUGAAGGCCUUCGGGUUGUAAAGCUCUGUGGAGGGGGACGAAUAAGUCGGAGCGAAUAGCUCCGAUGAUGACGGUACCUCUUUAGCAAGCACCGGCUAACUCUGUGCCAGCAGCCGCGGUAAGACAGAGGGUGCAAACGUUGUUCGGAAUUACUGGGCGUAAAGCGCGUGUAGGCUGCUCUGCAAGUCGGAUGUGAAAGCCCUGGGCUCAACCUAGGAAGUGCAUUCGAUACUGCUGAGCUUGAGUCCUGGAGAGGAAGGCGGAAUUCUCGGUGUAGAGGUGAAAUUCGUAGAUAUCGAGAGGAACACCGGUGGCGAAGGCGGCCUUCUGGACAGUGACUGACGCUGAGACGCGAAAGCGUGGGGAGCAAACAGGAUUAGAUACCCUGGUAGUCC